rnacentral:rRNA from 1 species
UGUCUCAAAGAUUAAGCCAUGCCGUCUAAGUACAUACUUUGAUGAAAAGUGAAACUGCGAACGGCUCAGUACAACGGUCACAAUUUACUGGUCGAUAGUUUUUAAUUGGAUAACUGUGGCAAUUCUAGAGCUAAUACAUGCACUAUGCUCCGAGCGCGGGUGACCGUGCGACGAGCGCGUUUAUCAGUUUGAAGCCAGCGGGGCUAUUGGCCUUCAAUUGACUCUAGAUAACUUAGCUGAUCGUGAGGCGUAUGCCGAAUGCGACGCGGCCAUAAAAGGUCUGCCCUAUCACACUGUCGAUGGUCGGCGCUCUGCCCACCAUGGUGAUAACGGGUGACGGGGGAUCAGGGUUCGAUUCCGGAGAGGGAGCAUGAGAAACGGCUGCCACAUCCAUGGAAGGCAGCAGGCGCGCAACUUACCCAAUCUCGAUACGAGGAGGUAGUGACGAAAAAUAUCAGUGCGGGGUUCAUCGAAUGCCCGCUACUGAAAUGAGCCCAAUGUAAGCAUUUGCGCGAGGAUCGAUUGGAGGGCA